GACGAACGCUGGCGGCGUGCUUAACACAUGCAAGUCGAACGGAAAGGCCCUGCUUUUGUGGGGUGCUCGAGUGGCGAACGGGUGAGUAACACGUGAGUAACCUGCCCUUGACUUUGGGAUAACUCCAGGAAACUGGGGCUAAUACCGGAUAGGAGCUCCUGCUGCAUGGUGGGGGUUGGAAAGUUUCGGCGGUUGGGGAUGGACUCGCGGCUUAUCAGCUUGUUGGUGGGGUAGUGGCUUACCAAGGCUUUGACGGGUAGCCGGCCUGAGAGGGUGACCGGCCACAUUGGGACUGAGAUACGGCCCAGACUUCUACGGGAGGCAGCAGUGGGGAAUAUUGCACAAUGGGCGGAAGCCUGAUGCAGCAACGCCGCGUGCGGGAUGACGGCCUUCGGGUUGUAAACCGCUUUCGCCUGUGACGAAGCGUGAGUGACGGUAAUGGGUAAAGAAGCACCGGCUAACUACGUGCCAGCAGCCGCGGUGAUACGUAGGGUGCGAGCGUUGUCCGGAUUUAUUGGGCGUAAAGGGCUCGUAGGUGGUUGAUCGCGUCGGAAGUGUAAUCUUGGGGCUUAACCCUGAGCGUGCUUUCGAUACGGGUUGACUUGAGGAAGGUAGGGGAGAAUGGAAUUCCUGGUGGAGCGGUGGAAUGCGCAGAUAUCAGGAGGAACACCAGUGGCGAAGGCUGUUCUCUGGGCCUUUCCUGACGCUGAGGAGCGAAAGCGUGGGGAGCGAACAGGCUUAGAUACCCUGGUAGUCCACGCUGUAAACGGUGGGUACUAGGUGUGGGGUCCAUUCCACGGGUUCCGUGCCGUAGCUAACGCUUUAAGUACCCCGCCUGGGGAGUACGGCCGCAAGGCUAAAACUCAAAGGAAUUGACGGGGCCCCGCACAAGCGGCGGAGCAUGCGGAUUAAUUCGAUGCAACGCGUAGAACCUUACCUGGGUUUGACAUGGAUCGGGAGUGCUCAGAGAUGGGUGUGCCUCUUUUGGGGUCGGUUCACAGGUGGUGCAUGGCUGUCGUCAGCUCGUGUCGUGAGAUGUUGGGUUAAGUCCCGCAACGAGCGCAACCCUUGUUCACUGUUGCCAGCACGUUAUGGUGGGGACUCAGUGGAGACCGCCGGGGUCAACUCGGAGGAAGGUGGGGAUGACGUCAAGCCAUCAUGCCCCUUAUGUCCAGGGCUUCACGCAUGCUACAAUGGCUGGUACAGAGAGUGGCGAGCCUGUGAGGGUGAGCGAAUCUCGGAAAGCCGGUCUCAGUUCGGAUUGGGGUCUGCAACUCGACCUCAUGAAGUCGGAGUCGCUAGUAAUCGCAGAUCAGCAACGCUGCGGUGAAUACGUUCCCGGG
rnacentral:rRNA from 1 species